ACUUUCGGGGCGGGGUGAAAUUCCCCACCGACGGUGAAAGCCCGUGAGCGUCUGAUACACUCCUUUGAAAAUGGUAUUCGUUUGGCGCUGAUUCGGUGAAAUUCCGAAGCCGACGGUAAAGUCCGGAUGAAAGAAAGUG
rnacentral:ncRNA from 1 species